rnacentral:misc_RNA from 1 species
UUAAGUUGUCAUUCGACUUUUAGUUCAGACUGCAAUCAAGCUUCUUUCCGCAGAGUAGUUUCGCUGGAGCUGCCGGCAGACUGACCCGCCCCCUCCGCGCGAACGGGGGGGGAGGUGCUGCCGAAGCAACCGGGGCGUUUCACAAGGGGUUUCACGCUGACCGCGGGCGCCAGCCUUUUGAGGGGCGGGACCGCGCGGCAGGUGUGGGAGCGGGGCUCCCGGUUUUUGGUAAUGAUCCUUCCGCAGGUUCACCUACGGAAA